AUACCAAAUAUGGCCUUUUAGAUUCAGUACACAAAUACACAUCCACUCUCUUCUGAUUCAAUAUCCCAAAAAUUAAACUAAAAAUGUUCUUAUCU